UCCCUGGUGGCUCAGAUGGUAAAGCAUCUGCCUGCAAUGCGGGAGACCCGGGUUCGUUUCCUGGGUCGGGAA
rnacentral:tRNA from 1 species